CCUAUUUGAAAGAAACAAAAUUUUAUUUAUUUAUGGAUGACAUACUGUAUAUAUGGAAAAUCCCAGGGAGGCUAUAAAAAAGGAUAGUAGAAGUAGUAAGCUUAGCAAGGUCUCAGGAUACAAGGUCAAUAUAAAAUAUCAAUUGUAUUUUACAUUUUAAUAACAAAAGAUUGGAAAUUGAAAUAAAAUACCAUUGUUUAAAUACAAUAGCAUCAAAAAAUGUGAAAGAAGUAGGGAUAAUUUUAACAAAAUAUGUGCAAGAACUGUACAUUGAAAACUACAAAAUAUUACUGAGUAAAAUUAAAGCAGAUCUAAAUAAAUGGAGAGAUAUGCCAUGUUUAUGGAUUGGAGGACUCAACAUUGUUAAUGAUAUCAAUUAUUUCCAGGCUGAUCUAUUAAGCCAAUGCUAUCUCAAUAAAAAUUAACGCAGACUUUUUACUUCUUUUGGUGCAGAUUAAAAAGUUCUUUAGAAAUGCGAAGAAGCUAGAAUGGCCAAAUAGUUUUAACAUACGUGAAUAAAGUUAGAGGACUUACACUACCUGAUUUCAAGAUUUACUAUAAAACUACAAAAAUCAAGAGAGUGCAAUAUUGAAAUUAGGUUAGACAAAAAUUCAUGAACAGAAUAGAGGGUCCAGAAACCAGCCCAUACACAUAAUCAGUUAAUUUUAUACAAAGGUACUGAUGUGAAAGGGAAAAGACAGUCUCUUCAGCAAAUGAUUUAUAUCCACGUGCAAAAACAAAACCUCAACCCUUAACUUGCACCAUACACAAAAAUUAACUUGGAAAAAAAGCGAUCAUAAACCUAAAUGUAUGAGUUAAUCUUUAAAGUUUCUAGAAGAAAACAUAGGGAAAAAAAUAUUUGUGACUUUGACUUAAGCAAAGAUUUCUUGGAGAGGAAGCAAAAAAUAUAAACCAUAAAAGAAAAAAUAGAUAAAUUGGAUCUCAACAAAAUUAAAACUUUUUCUCUUUAAAAGACAGUUAAGAAUAUUAACUAUCUCAUAGUUAAGAAAAUUAAAUAUCCUAUAGGCUGGGAGAAAAUUUUGCAAACCAUAUGCUACAUCCAGAAUAAAGACUCCUUACAACUUUCUUUGUUUUGAUACAAGGUCUCCCUCUGUCAUCCAGGCUGGAAUGCAGUGGCGGGAUCACAGCUCACUGCAGCCUUAACCCCCAGCCUCAAGCGAUCCUCCCACUUCAGCAUCCCCACCACUCCCACCAGUAGCUGAAACUACAGGUGUGCACCACCAUGCCUGGCUAAUUUUUUUUGUAUUUUUUGUAGGGAUGUGGUUUUACCAUGUUGCCCAAGCUGGUGUUGAACUCCUGGGCUCAAGCCAUCUUCCUGCCUUGGCCUCCCAAAGUGCUGGGAUUAUAGGUGUGAGCCACCACACCUAGCCUAUAACUUAGUAAGAUCAUUGAUUUAAAAUGGACAAAAGAUUUGAACAGAUACUUUACAAAAGAAUAUGUAUAAAUGGCAAAUAAGUAUGAAAAUAUGCUCAAUAUCAUUAGGAAAAUACAAAUUAUAACCACUUAUUAGAAUGACUAAUAUGACAACACCAAGUGUUGGUAGUAAGGAUUGGGAAACACUGGAACUCAUAUACUGUUGGUGGCAACGUAAAACAGUAGAACCACUUCAGAAGAGUUUGGAGGCCUCCUUCUAAGUUAAACACGUGCUUACACAUAACCCAGAAAUCCUACUCCUAAGGUAUUUACCCCAGAUAAAUGAAGAUAUAUGUCCACAUGAAGGCUUGUGCACAAAUGUUUAUAGUAGCUGUAUCCAUAAUACACCCAAACUGAAAACAACAUGAAUGUACAUUAACAAUGGUAAAUAAAAAAAUUGUGAAAUACUCAUACAAUGAAAUCCUAGGCAGUAGUAAAAAGGAAUGAACUACUAUCACAUAAUAUGGAUGAAUCUCAAAACAUGCUAAGCAAAAGAAGCCAGACACAAAAAAGUACAUAUGGAUGAUUCCAUUUACGUGAAACUCUAGAAAAGAUGAAUCUAAUCUUUAGGGACAGAAGCAGAUGAGUGGUUGGAGUGAAUGCGUGUAUGGGGGAUUGGAUGGGGAGGGGCACAAAAGGAACUAUUUUGGGAGAUGGAAAUGUUCUAUAUCUUGAUGUGGUGGUGGUGACAUGGGUAUAUACAUUUGUUAAGACUUAUAGAACUGUACACUUAAAAUGCAUUUUAUUUUACAUAAAAUAUACAUAUAACUUUAUUGUACAUAAAUUAUACUUAAUAAAGUUAACUUAAAUGAAAAAAAAGAGUGACUGAACCAUUUCAUUUUUUCCUCUGAAAAUAUUCUUUCCUUUUGGACUUCCAAAGGCAACUCCGCAAAUUCCUUUAUCAGUAAAUGAGUGAAUUAGAAUAGAUGAUGUCAUUCGUUCAUUCAAUAAAUAUUUACUAAAGUCUAUUAUGGGGCAAACACAAUGCUAGAUUCUAGAGAUAUAUGGCUGAAAAGGAAUCCAAUUUUGUCCUCAAGGAGUCACAGUCUAGUGGGAGUGAAAGACAAGCUAACUUGAUUAUAAUACAUCUUAUGUAUAUGUAGGGGUUAAGGAUUCUUAAGAGAAGCAGUCUUCCCUGAUGAUGCAAUACCUGAGGUGGGUUUUGAUGUACAAGUAAGAGUUAGGUAAAGAGGGAAGAGAAGGCAUUCUAAGCAGAGGAAGCUGUAAGGGCAAAGGGCCAAAGGCAAAAUAUGUACCUUGUAUUAGGUACUUCGAGUAGUUCAGUAGGUCUGAAAUAUACAAUUUAUCCUUGUAAGGUCAUGGUUGUGUCUUGAUUAGAAGAAGUUAAAAUAUACUACUCUAGUUUGAGCAGUGUGUAGACAGGGGUUCUAUACCAAAUAAUGAUACCCCUUAUUAUUGUGCAUCACCUAAAAGGAAAAUAACUGCCAUCAGUUAGGAUCCUUUCUGUUGCAAAGAAAAUCCUUUGGGUCUUGUAAAAAAAAUAGUCCAGAGGUAGACUGGUGCAGCACGAUCUGGGGAUCAACAAGGCCAAAAGAGCAGCUUUUCCUUCUCUCCAUUCCUAGACUGCAGCAGCUACACAACCUACAUUCUUUCAUUUUCAUAUCCAGCUUCCCUGAAAGAUUAAACCAAAGCUUCCUAAUUAAGUUUCACUAGCUCUCAUUGGUCUCGAUUUUGCACUGGUCCUGAAGCAAUCCCCAUGGCCAGAGGAACAGUACAUGGUGACUACUUGGCUAGGACCCAGAGGUCCUGGGGAUGCAAGUCAGCCUCACCUGAUGCACAUGGGGAAGGGGUAGAUCACUAAAGAAAAAUCAGAGCAUUUGUGGAAGAAGGAAGACUAGAUACAAAGGAGAAAUUAUGUUUUAUAGAAAACAGAUCCCAACAAUUUCUGAGUAGGUCAAGGGAUACAGACAUACAUGGACAAAUUUCUGCUUGCAUCUUCCACAUUUAGGACAGACAAGUAAAGUCCGGUGUGGUCACUCACGCCUGUAAUCCCAGCACUUUGGAAGGCUGAGGCGGGUGGAUCACUUGAGGUCAGGAGUUUGAGACCUGGUUGGCCAACGUAGUGAAAACCUGUCUCUACUAAAAAUACAAAAACUUAGCCAGGUGUUAUGGCGCAUGCCUGUAGUCCCAGCUAUUUGGGAGGCUGAGGCAGGAGAAUCACUUGAACCCAGGAGGUGGAGGUUGCAGUGAGCUGAGAUCGCAUCACUGCACUCCAGCCUGGGUGACAGAGCCAGACUGCGUCAAAAAAAAAAAAAAUAGCAUGGGUAAGGCAGCCCGAUGACCCUCAGUGCAGUGUUUUAACAAGCAGCCAAGAGCACAGCUUGGCAGAGAGGGGUCUGCGGAAGCAGCAAAGUGGGUGGUUGUCAACCAGGUCUGGCUUUGGGAUUCAGAUUCAGAUCUACUGCCUAGAGCCACCUGUUUCAAAUGAAAGGAUCUGCUAUGGCAUGGUCCAUUCAUCUUUACAGACAUAGUCUUAAACUAUCAGGUUAAAUGAUAGAAAUGCUAAUGAAGUUGUGCAUUCUUC
rnacentral:lncRNA from 1 species